CGCGCAGGCGGUUUGGUUAGUCAGAUGUGAAAGCCCACGGCUUAACCGUGGAAGUGCAUUUGAAACUGUCAGACUUGAGUACCAGAGGGGGUUGUGGAAUUCCCGGUGUAGAGGUGAAAUUCGUAGAUAUCGGGAGGAAUACCGGUGGCGAAGGCGACAACCUGGCUGGAUACUGACGCUGAGGCGCGAAAGCGUGGGGAGCAAACA
rnacentral:rRNA from 1 species